rnacentral:rRNA from 1 species
UACGUAGGUGGCAAGCGUUGUCCGGAUUUAUUGGGUUUAAAGGGUGCGUAGGCGGUCCCAUAAGUCAGUGGUGAAAUACUCUAGCUUAACUAGAGGGGUGCCAUUGAUACUGCGGGACCUGAGUGGAGUUGAAGUGGGCGGAAUUGACGGUGUAGCGGUGAAAUGCUUAGAUAUCGUCAAGGACACCGAUAGUGAAGACAGCUCACUAAGCUCAAACUGACGCUGAGGCACGAAAGUGUGGGGAUCAAACAGG